ACAACAUUCGGGUCGUCGAUCUACCGCGCCAUUUCACCCGCUCGGAAGAACAUUUUCCCUUCGUCAU
rnacentral:pre_miRNA from 1 species